UACGAAGGUGGCAAGCGUUGUUCGGAUUUACUGGGCGUAAAGGGAGCGUAGGUGGUUAGGUAAGCCCUCCGGGAAAUCUUCAGGCUUAACCUGAAAAGGUCGGGGGGGACUGCCUGGCUAGAGGACGGGAGAGGAGCGCGGAAUUCCCGGUGUAGCGGUGAAAUGCGUAGAGAUCGGGAGGAACACCGACGGCGUAGGCAGCGCCCUGGCCGUUUCCUGACGCUGAUGCACGAAAGCUGGGGGAGCAAACAGG
rnacentral:rRNA from 1 species